rnacentral:rRNA from 1 species
UACGGAGGGGGCUAGCGUUGUUCGGAAUGACUGGGCGUAAAGCGCGCGUAGGCGGAUCAUCAAGUCGGGGGUGAAAUCCCGGGGCUCAACCCCGGAACGGCCUUCGAGACUGGUGGUCUUGAGUUCGAGAGAGGUGGGUGGAAUUCCGAGUGUAGAGGUGAAAUUCGUAGAUAUUCGGAGGAACACCAGUGGCGAAGGCGGCCCACUGGCUCGACACUGACGCUGAGGCGCGAAAGCGUGGGGAGCGAACGGG